GCCCAGAGCAGAGCAGGUGGCCAAAGCCACGCAGAGCCACGUCAAGGAACAAGCUCCAGCAGCCUGGAAAUUCUCUCUGUAAGGCAAGCAGGGGCUGGGACUUUUCUGCUGAGAGAUAAGGAGGUCAUCGACAGCCCCUCAGGUCACCUCUAUUACAUGUUUAAUUUCCUGGAUGUUGCAAAUAUUUUUUCUAUUUUCACCAGCUCCUCAAUUAAACAUAAAAGAAGAUCUUUUGGGCAGUGCUUUCCAAGCAUUCAAACGGGGGCUGCAGCUUCAUUCCAGCUAUCCCAUCCAUGUGUGAGGCAGAAAUCAUGUCCAGCAGCCUUCCCAGAGGAAGCUUCCAGACCUUUUUGCUCUCACAUUCCACACUAACUUAGGAGGUUACAGGUGUGCAGCUGCUCUGGCAAUGUGUGCCAGGGGAGCAGGAGAGCUGUGGAGGCUUCCCUGGGGACCCUGACCUGCCCCUGCCUGCUGUGCCCACCGAGGACACGAGGAACGCAUUAGAUGACAAGAUUGGAGUGUUCUUAUCUGUCCUGUAGUUCUUUCUCCCUCUGAUAAUGGCAACAUAUUUAAGAACCCAAAGAGACUUAACUAAAAUUGCAUCUUUUGUUGAUAAGCACUUAAA